UUUUAAGUAUAAGUAUGUCCCAUGCAACAUUUGGAACAUACUUUAUACUAAAA
rnacentral:pre_miRNA from 1 species